rnacentral:rRNA from 1 species
AGCGAACAUUGGCGGUAGGCUUAACACAUGCAAGUCGAGCGAGGCGUAAUAGUCGAGCGGCGAACGGGUGAGUAACACAUGGGAAUCUACCCUGAAGUGGGGGAUAACGUUCAGAAAUAAACGCUAAUACCGCAUAAUCCACAAUGGGAAAGCGUUGCAGCGCUUUAGGAUGAGCCCAUGGCUGAUUAGCUAGUUGGUGAGGUAAUGGCUCACCAAGGCGACGAUCAGUAGCUGGUCCGAGAGGAUGAUCAGCCACACUGGAACUGAGACACGGUCCAGACCCCUACGGGAGGCAGCAGUGGGGAAUCUUGCGCAAUGGGGGCAACCCUGACGCAGCCAUACCGCGUGAGUGAUGAAGGUCUUCGGAUUGUAAAGCUCUUUCGGCGGGGACGACGAUGACGGUACCCGCAAAAGAAGUCACGGCUAACUUCGUGCCAGCCGCCGCGGUAA